rnacentral:lncRNA from 1 species
AGAUAGCACUCCUGUCUCCUGUUUGACUUCACAUAGUGAAAAUUGUCUAAAAGAUAAGGCAGGAGAUCUGGUUGACACCCUCCCCCCGCCAUAGAUCUCUCUCUAGAAGCAUUGGAAGAGGCCGUCUCAAAAAAGAAAAAAAAAAUAGAAGCAUUGGAGGAAAGAUAUGGUUUGUAGUGAAACAAAUUGGAAGUCAAGCUCAGCCUCAACCACUUACUUGCUUCUGACCUUGGCAUUAGGAGGAGGCUGGGUGCCGUGGCUCACACCUGUAGUGCCAGCGCUUUGGAAGGCUAAGAUGGGCAGACUGCUUGAACUCAGGAGUUUGAGACCAGCGUGGGCAACAUGUCGAGACCCCAUCUCUACAAGAAAUUUUAAAAUUAGCCAGGCAUUGUGGAGCCCUGCUUUGUGUAGUUCAGUGCCUGCUGCCAAGUCAGAGCUGUGACCUCAAUGAAAGUGGCCCAGCCACACCAAACCUCAGUUUCCAUAACAGUCCUGGGAUCCAGUGUGGCUUUCACACUACAUGUCACUUCACUCUGUUAUCUCCGACAGAAAACCAACUCAAACUGGCUUAAGC